rnacentral:rRNA from 1 species
GAUGAACGCUGGCGGCGUGCCUAAUACAUGCAAGUCGAGCGAACAGACGAGGAGCUUGCUCCUCUGACGUUAGCGGCGGACGGGUGAGUAACACGUGGAUAACCUACCUAUAAGACUGGGAUAACUUCGGGAAACCGGAGCUAAUACCGGAUAUUAUAUUGAACCGCAUGGUUCAAUAGUGAAAGACGGUUUUGCUGUCUCUUAUAGCUGGAUCCGCGCCGCAUUAGCUAGUUGGUAAGGUAACGGCUUACCAAGGCGACGAUGCGUAGCCGACCUGAGAGGGUGAUCGGCCACACUGGAACUGAGACACGGUCCAGACUCCUACGGGAGGCAGCAGUAGGGAAUCUUCCGCAAUGGGCGAAAGCCUGACGGAGCAACGCCGCGUGAGUGAUGAAGGUCUUCGGAUCGUAAAACUCUGUUAUUAGGGAAGAACAAAUGUGUAAGUAACUAUGCACGUCUUGACGGUACCUAAUCAGAAAGCCACGGCUAACUACGUG